rnacentral:rRNA from 1 species
UACGGAGGGUGCGAGCGUUGUCCGGAAUCACUGGGCGUAAAGGGUGCGUAGGCGGGUUUUUAAGUCAGAGGUGAAAUCCUGGAGCUCAACUCCAGAACUGCCUUUGAUACUGGGAAGCUCGAGUCCGGAAGAGGUAAGUGGAACUCCGAGUGUAGAGGUGAAAUUCGUAGAUAUUCGGAAGAACACCAGUGGCGAAGGCGGCUUACUGGACACAUAUUGACGCUGAGGUGCGAAAGCGUGGGGAGCAAACAGG